rnacentral:lncRNA from 1 species
CGGGCGGCGGUGGAGAGGCAGCGGUGGUGGCGCGGCUGGGAGCAGCGUCACCAACGAUCGCCGAGGAGGAGAGGUCGAGCGGCUGCGCUGCGACGCAAGGAGAGGCGGGCGGCGACAGUAGGGCUAGGAUGGACGCUAGCAGCGUCGUCUCCUGGCCGGGGAACAGCGGCGGCGGUGGUCGCCGGCCGGGAAGCAGGGCGAUGGUGGGCGCUGGCCGGAGAGCAGUAGCGGCGGGUGGGCUGGCCGG